rnacentral:rRNA from 1 species
GAUGAACGCUGGCGGCGUGCUUAACACAUGCAAGUCGAACGAAGCACCUUAUUCUGAUUUCUUCGGAAUGAAAAAUUUGGUGACUGAGUGGCGGACGGGUGAGUAACGCGUGGGUAACCUGCCUCAUACAGGGGGAUAACAGUUAGAAAUGACUGCUAAUACCGCAUAAGACCACAGCACCGCAUGGUGCAGGGGUAAAAACUCCGGUGGUAUGAGAUGGACCCGCGGCUGAUUAGGUAGUUGGUGGGGUAACGGCCUACCAAGCCGACGAUCGGGAGCCGAACUGAGAGGGUGACGGGCGACAUUGGGACUGAGAACCGGCACAAACGCCUACGGGAGGCAGCAGUGGGGAAUAUUGCACAAUGGGGGAAACCCUGAUGCAGCGACGCCGCGUGAGCGAUGAAGUAUUCCGGUAUGUAAAGCUCUAUCAGCAGGGAAGAAAAGGACGGUACCUGACCAAGAAGCACCGGCUAAAUACGUGCCAGCCGCCGCCGUAA